GCCUAGCUCAGUUGGUAGAGCAUAUGACUCUUGUUCUUAAGAGUUGUGAGUUCAAGCCUCACGUAGGGCA
rnacentral:tRNA from 1 species